AUGAGAAGAUUGAUCUGUAUGUUCACCUGCCCCAACUUGCUUGGGACAAAAGACAUUGUUGUUGUUGUCGUUGUCGUUAUUGUUGUUGUUGUCGUGUUUGUUGUCAUCGUCGUCGUCGUCGUUGUCGUUGUUGUUCACCUUUCCUGUUUAUCAACUCAUGUGGAAGGUCGAGGCACUGGCGAUGUUGGAGUACUUCAAUUGCUGCGCCUAUGUGUAGGUGUCCCCUGCUACAGUUAUGUUCAAUUGUCCUGUUCGCCCAGCGCAACUUGCCCGGGACAAAAUGUUUUGUUGUUGUUCACCUCUCCUGUUUAUCAACUUAUGUGA
rnacentral:rRNA from 1 species